rnacentral:tRNA from 1 species
AUUUUUAUAGUUGAACCUACAACAGUAGCUUUUCAUGCUUCAAGUUUGGGUUGAACUCCCAAUAAAAAUU